rnacentral:rRNA from 1 species
UGCGUAGGUGGCAUGGUAAGUCAGAUGUGAAAUUUAGGAGCUCAACUUCUAAGCUGCAUCUGGAACUGCUAAGCUAGAGUGCAGGAGAGGAAAGCGGAAUUCCGAGUGUAGCGGUGAAAUGCGUAGAGAUUCGGAGGAACACCAGUAGCGAAGGCGGCUUUCUGGACUGUAACUGACACUGAGGCACGAAAGCGUGGGGAGCAAACA